ensembl:lncRNA
UUUUUAUUUUUUUCGGAUGUACAUCAUAUUUCAAAUUCUGGAUACAUUACAUCAUGUUCACCACCCAAACACUAAUUAUAGUGCAUCCCCUCACAUGUGACCCUAACCACCCCUUUUGCCCUCCCCCCUUCCCCAAUGGUAACCACCAGUCCAAUCUCCAAUGCUAUGUGGUGGGGUUUUUUUUGUCAUUUUUAUCUUCUAUUUAUGAGUGAGAUCAUAUGGUAUUUGACUUUCUCCCUCUGACUUAUUUCACUCAGCAUAAUACCCUCAAGGUCCAUCCAUGUUGUCACAAAUGGCUGGAUUUCAUCAUUUCUUAUGGCUGAGUAGUAGUCCAUCGUGUAUAAAUACCACAUCUUCUUUAUCCAUUCGUCCCUUGAUGGGCACCUAGGUUGCUUCCAAGUCUUGGCUAUUGUGUAUAAUGCCACAAUGAACAUAGGGGUGCAAGUAUUUUUAUGCCUUUGUGUUUUCAAGUUCUUUGGAUAAAUACCCAGCAGGGGAAUAGCUGGAUCAUAUGGUAGAUCUAUCCUAAAUUCUCUGAGGAUACUGCAAACUGCUUUCCAUAGUGGCUGCACCAGUUUGCACUGCCACCAGCAGUGAACAAGGGUUCCCUUCUCUCCACACCCUCUCCAUCAUUUGUUGUUUCCUGUCUUGUUAAUUAUAACCAUUCUGACCGGAGUGAGGUGAUACCUCAUUGUAGUUUUGAUUUGCAUUUCCCUGAUAGCUAAUGACGUUGAGCAUCUUUUCAUAUGCCUAUUGGCCAUCUGUAUAUCUUCUUUGGAGAGAUCUCUAAAUUCUUUAAAUGUAUUAAUUUAUUUAAUCCUACUAACUCCCCAGGAAUAGGUACUAUUAGAGUCCAUAUUUAUAUAGACAAGGAAACUGAAACAAAAGAAGUUUAGUAAUUUGUACAUUUCCUGCAGAUUCUGUUUGGAAGACAAGCAGUUAGACCCCAGAAUUCAUGUUUUUAAUUAUCAGGAUAAGCAGACACAUACAAAUGCAUAUUUAUCUGAUAAAUGUACAUUUAUCGACCAGGACAUUUUCAUGUAUAAAUUAAGCACUGAGAAGGCCUUUUAAUAUUCACUGAACACAUUGAAAUAAUUGUUCAAAGAAUUGAAAAAAAUUGUUCCAAACUGAGACUAGUUUGGAAAAUCUGGAGCAAGAUAAUCCACUGAGAUUUGAACACAUUAUGUUAAAGAUUUUUUCCCUUCUUUUCUUUAAUGCUGUUUGGAGUUUUCAUGAGCUGUGACGUCUCAAGGGAACAAGUCAAAGUAUUCUUGCAGAAAUUCUGAAUACCACUAAAACUAGCUGUCAACCAUAAAUCAGUAUCUAGCUAUUUUCCAACCUAUUUAUAAAAGUGUAGCUGUGAAAUACAUCUAAAAUACAAAUCUGAGUACAUUUAUCUGAAGAUGGUACUUUUAGCAAUAACCUUUCAAACAAACAAAUGCCAUCUGUCAAAAGCAGAAUAAUUGCAGUGUGUCAAAAUGUUGGGGGUGGAGUACUUAAGUUACCCAUGUAGCUGGUAUGAUAAAUAGUGGAAUUUCACCUGAUGUCAGCUCCACUCCAGCUACCCCAGCGCUUAAUGCUAGCACUAGCUCAGAUCUGGUUUUUACUGAAAGAAGAAGAAAUGUGUCAGAACCAGACAGUGUUUCUGGAUUUCCAGUGAAUACUCUCAGAGGUUCUAACAUUUCAUGCUCAAGAUGAAUUCAAGACUCCAAGAUUAACUCUAGCAUAUGUUCCACAUCAUAUUCUGAAUCAAUUUUCUCUUCAGAGGUAUUAGCCUCUUGUCCUGGAAAUUACACAAAUGCCACAUGUUUCUGAUGCCCCUUUCUAUGUUCAUUCCCAGCAGCUGCACAUUAGUUUCAUUAAACAAAAUCAACCAGGAAAAAUGAAUACAAAAAGAACUUUCAGCCUCUUUGAAGCUCAAGAUUUAUACAAAAGUAGAUACAUGCCAGAACCAUAUGAGGUUCUGAGCAAAUGCAGGUGUCAUUUAUUGGUAUUCUUUCAUUUGACAACAAUUUUUGGAUCACCGAUUCAUUGUCAUAUACAUUCAAUUGGAAAGCUCUAGGCAUUUUGUUUAAUUAUAGUCGACCACCUGAUGCAUAUAGAAAAAUCUGAUCUCUAUCACAAUUCAUAGUUCUUAAGUAGAAAUCUGGGAUAAUCUAAAAUAGAGAUAGAACUCUGCACUGUGUGUGAGGGGAAAAAAAAUGCCACAUUAUGUUCUAAUUUCUAGGUACAGAGAAAUCCUCUGAAUUCUCUACCAAAAAGAAAGCAUAGCAUUUAAGAACAACAGCGUUGCAAGUUCUGCUCAAUCAUUUUAGCUAAACAAAGUCUUGAUUUCAAGCAUUUGAUGUAUACAUAACAAAAGAAAUCUAGGUAGACAGUAGUGUUUUGUUUUGUUUUGUUUUUUUGAAGAAGAUUAGCCCUGAGCUAACUGCUGCCAAUCCUCCUCUUUUCGCUGAGGAAGACUCGCCCUGAGCUAACAUCCAUGCCCAUCCUCUUUACUUUAUAUGUGGGACGCCUACCACAGCAUGGUGUGUCAAGCGGUGCCAUGUCUGCACCUGGGAUCCGAACCAGCGAACCCCAGGCCGCCAAAGCAGAACGUGCGCACUUAACUGCUGCACCACCAGGCCAGUCCCACUAGUGUUCUUUAAAGAAGACAAUUGAAUAUCCACACUGAUUGGUAAAGGUAGCUACUAAUUCUAGCAUCAUGCCGUAUUCCAAAGCUGAAAAACAAUAUUGUUUCUCUUAUAAGCAAAACCAAAAUCAAAAGGCUACUGUUGAACAAUUUAUUCUGUGAGCUGUGGAUUUCAAAAAUCCACUUUGUAGAAAGGAGUUAGGGUGCAAUUUGCAAGGUUUGGGGCACUCUGACUUUUUGCAAAUUGUGUGCAGAAGUCGAGAUGGCUCCGCACAAACCUGUGUGUAGUUAGCAUCGUCAGCUGCUGUCUACUGAGUCAUUCCAUCUAGUGUGCUGAGUGCUUUGUACAUCACUUCUAAUCUUAACAACAACCUUUCAGAUUAAGAAACUAAGGCAAAGAAUUUUAUACACCUGCCCCAGAGCCAUGUGAUGCUGAAGAAUGUUGGCAGGCCCAAAACCUAGAUCUUCUGACUGUGAAGCUGACCUCUUUCUUCUAAAUCAUGUUCCUCCCAAAUGUGCAGCAGUGACCAUCCUAGUGCAAAUCACUCAAUAUAGCUUAUGUCUUCAUUUUUUAAAGCCACAAAAAGAUGUGAUAAAGAUAUUAACUAGAUUUAUUGUGAUGAUCAUUUCACAAUAUACACAAAUAUCAAAUCAUUAAGUUGCACACUGAAGCUAAUAUAAUGUUAUACGUCAAUUAUAUCUCAAUAAAAAAAGUGUGUGAUGAAAUUAUAUUACGGCUGAUCUAAAAUUCCUGGCAAAAAUAACAAAGUCAGUAAAAAAAAUAAAUAACUUCAAAAAACGAUGGAACAGACAGCAAAGUAUUAUCCUAAUUGUUCCCCCUAACCACUACAACUGAUUACAUUAUCAAAAUCAGAACUAUUCUAGUAAAAGUUUCAUUUAUUUUGGAUUCCUUUCUCCUAGUUUAACUGGGAAUUCCCAGGAAGAAAACUGGAUGAAAGAGAGGUGAGAUAUUUUCUCAAAGUGAUAGCCGUUCCCUUCGACUAACACAGUCAGCACACUAACCACUUGACUCAUGAAAUGAUUUACUUAUUUAAAAUAUGCAUGUGCCUUGGAAGGCAGAAAAAUACAUUUAGUAGACCUAUGCAGCAACAUGAAAUAUGUGUGUAUGUUUGAAGGGAUGGGAUAUAUAGAUAUACUGUAGUCCCCCCCUUAUCCACAGGGGAUAUGUUCCAAGACCCCCAGGGGAUGCCUGAAACCACGGACAGUAACGAACUCUAUAUAUACUGCUUUUUCCUAUACAUACACACCUAUGAUAAAGUUUAAUUUAUAAAUUAGGCACAGUAAGAGAUUAACAACCAAAACUAAUAAUAAAAUAAAUUAUAACAAUAUACUGUAAUAAAAGUUACCGUAGAUCUUAGCAACCUCGGCAUACAAUUUUUUCUUCUUUUUUUAUUGUCAAGAACUUUCACCUUUUUACUUAAAGGAAACACUUUAUGGCUUCUCUUUGGCAUAUCCAAAUUGCCAGCAUCACUACUCUUGUGCUUUGGGGCCCUUAUGAAGUAACUAAGGGUUACUUGAACACAAGCACUGCAAUACCGAGACAGUCAAUCUGAUAACCGAGAUGGCUCCUAAGUGACUAAGUUGCAGGCAGCAUAUCCAGCAAGGAUCUGUCCGACAAAGGGAUGAGUCAUGUCCCAGGCAGGACAGAGCAAGACAGCACGAGAUUUCAUCAAGCCACUCAGAACGGCGCACAAUUUAAAACUUAAGAAUUAUUGAUUUCUGGAAUUGUCUAUUUAAUAUUUUUGGACUGUGAGUGACCCUGGGUAACUGAAACCAUGCAAAGUGAAAACACAGAUAAGGGGAGACUACUGUAUACAUCAAGUGAUUUUAUAAAGUGCACAAUUUGAAAAUUUAAUAAUGGAAAUUUUAAUAAUAAUGAAUAAUGGAAUUUAAUAAAAUUUAAUAUCAACUUUGAGUAUUAAUGUUCAUUUUAAUCACUAUCUGCUCCCAGGAAAAUGUCAGUUGUUGAUCCUUUUGUGUAACAUAUAUAUAUGGUUUCUGUGGUAUUACUUUGACAUGUUAUGAAAUUUUCCCCUAAAUUACAACAGUUUCAUCAUUUUUCAUUGUACUUUCUUCCUGCAGGAUUGUAUUUCACAUGGUUACUGGUUCAUCCGUGAAAUCUUUUUAAGAAAAUGUACCGGCAGACCUGGGCGAAUUACCUGGCUACCUCCUAUCACACCUGCUCCUUUCAGACCCUUUUUUUUUUUUUUUACAGAAUCUGUAUAAAUCUGUCUCCUCAUCAAAACCACACACUUUGAAUAAAUUUAAGAUUGUGCUCACAGAGGCAGUUCAUGAAAUCAUUCAGCACCAAAUGGAGAAUAUCCUCAAUGGCUUAGAAAAUCAAAAUGAACAGUGCGUCACUAAAGAUGGUACUUGUGCUGAAGUCUGGAUAUUUGAAUUGGAUGGUGUUAAAAACUCCAUGAAAAUAGGUUUGCAUGAGAUGUUUAAAGUUUGCUUCUAUGAUGUACAAAAAGUUAUCAAAUUUUAAAAUUGCAAAAGGAAUUUAUAAACACCCUGUAUUUGUAAAAAUCCCACCAAACACCUCAGAGGAUCUCUCUCCCAGGAUUGGCAAAAUGGUAAGAGAAACCUUAACUAAAUUAGGAGUCAGGAAGGCCUGUAGGGGGAGCUGUCAAGCCCUAUCAUACAUGCUCGAUUACUUCAAAGAGACUUACCUUGCAUGUUGGACAAGAAGUAGAACUACGUUACUACUGAAGGAAGAUUUGUCUCUCUACCUGGCAACAACCCAGCC